ACGAAGCUUUCUCAUCAACCACUUCUUUCGCAGAGCGGGGUGCAAUGCUAAAAACAUCCUGGCUCUCUUCUCAUCCUCCAAAAGGUCAAUGGCAUCCAGUAGUAAAUCAUCAUCAAUGUCCGGUAUAGCCUUUAAGACAUCAAUAACUUUCUCUAUGGAUACAGAUGCCUCUUUCUUCAGUUUCUUCUUCAACGGUGACUCUGCAACUGCCAUAUCUCCUAGAGCAUUGGCCGCAACUCCAUCCGUUCUUUGUGGUUUCUUAGACUGGUGUAAGGUUUGUGUGACAUCGUGACUGUGCCUUUCCUUUUGAUCUGAUAAAUUCUUGACAUCACUUGAAUCCAAUGCUUUUUUCUGAACAUUUUGUUUGUCAACAAUAGGUGUAGCAUCUCCGUCAAUUUUCUUAGCAAAGGUUCCCUUGUCAAGAGCUUCAUUGCAGCUUGAUGGAACUUCUUUCAAAAGUCUAGCCUCAUUUCCGCAUAUGACACACAAAUCGGAAUAAUAUGGCAUAGCUUUAUUUCUGUACAUGUGGAAACUGGGAUGUGCCUGCGUUUAUAACAAAGUAAGGUACGAGCAAUAGAAUGUCUCCAUUAAAUUCCUGAUCAAGAACAAUUAAAGUAUACCUCUAUAUAUUUGUUCCAAACCGGAUCAUCAGCUACCACCUUUUGUUGUGUUUCAUCCCAAGUAAAACCCUUUUGAUCAAGCAGGGCGUUAACGCUACUGUAAUGUUUCCUGAGGACAUUGUACCGAUUUUUCAAUACAGCCCUACCAUGCUGAAACCCGAAUUUCUCAUUAAAGCAUGUGAUCAUGGUAAUCCAUGAUUUCUUCUUGAAAGUGCAACCAACCUUAUUCCCUUUGCGCACUUCAUCCAACAUUAGUUCAACGAAAAAUUGGUCCAUAAUCUGUGACCAGUCAAUUUUUUUAGGAUCAGCAUCAGUGGGAUCUUGAAAUUCCAUUCCUCUUGCUACAAAAUUUGAGAAAAUUACAGACAAUAUUUCAAUGCAUUUGCACAUAUUUAUCAAACAGAAAAUUAGCUUUGCCAAAUUGACAUCAAUUAAUAACGAUUUCCCACACAAUAUGUACCUUCGUUCUCAAAGUCCAUAUCGUAACAUGAAAGACUGUAUCUUCCAUCAGCAACUGCAUGGCCACAUAUUAUGCACAACUCGUCAUAAUGCGAAAUGACUUUUGUUCUGUACGGUUGCAUUUCAGGGUGGGCCUGCAUAGAACAUGUGCAACCUAAUAUAACUCUCGUGUGUGGACAGUAAAAUUUAAAGAUUAAACGGUGUACCUUGAUAUAAUUAUUCCACACAUUAUCGUC
rnacentral:lncRNA from 1 species